UAUUCCUACGGGAGGCAGCAGUGGGGAAUAUUGCACAAUGAGGGAAACCCUGAUGCAGCGACGCCGCGUGAGUGAAGAAGCGUUUCGGCGCGUAAAGCUCUGUCAGCGGGGAAGAAACACGGUUCGCGAGAGCCGCGGACGGUACCCGACCAAGAAGCCCCGGCUAACUACGUGCCAGCAGCCGCGGUAAUACGUAGGGGGCAAGCGUUAUCCGGAUUUACUGGGUGUAAAGGGAGCGUAGACGGCAGUGCAAGUCUGGUGUGAAAGGCGGGGGCUCAACCCCCGGACUGCUCUGGAAACUGUAG
rnacentral:rRNA from 1 species